AGAGUUUGAUCAUGGCUCAGAUUGAACGCUGGCGGCAGGCCUAACACAUGCAAGUCGAACGGUAACAGAAAGCAGCUUACUGCUUUGCUGACGAGUGGCGGACGGGUGAGUAAUGUCUGGGAAACUGCCUGAUGGAGGGGGAUAACUACUGGAAACGGUAGCUAAUACCGCAUAAUGUCGCAAGACCAAAGAGGGGGACCUUCGGGCCUCUUGCCAUCGGAUGUGCCCAGAUGGGAUUAGCUAGUAGGUGGGGUAACGGCUCACCUAGGCGACGAUCCCUAGCUGGUCUGAGAGGAUGACCAGCCACACUGGAACUGAGACACGGUCCAGACUCCUACGGGAGGCAGCAGUGGGGAAUAUUGCACAAUGGGCGCAAGCCUGAUGCAGCCAUGCCGCGUGUAUGAAGAAGGCCUUCGGGUUGUAAAGUACUUUCAGCGGGGAGGAAGGGAGUAAAGUUAAUACCUUUGCUCAUUGACGUUACCCGCAGAAGAAGCACCGGCUAACUCCGUGCCAGCAGCCGCGGUAAUACGGAGGGUGCAAGCGUUAAUCGGAAUUACUGGGCGUAAAGCGCACGCAGGCGGUUUGUUAAGUCAGAUGUGAAAUCCCCGGGCUCAACCUGGGAACUGCAUCUGAUACUGGCAAGCUUGAGUCUCGUAGAGGGGGGUAGAAUUCCAGGUGUAGCGGUGAAAUGCGUAGAGAUCUGGAGGAAUACCGGUGGCGAAGGCGGCCCCCUGGACGAAGACUGACGCUCAGGUGCGAAAGCGUGGGGAGCAAACAGGAUUAGAUACCCUGGUAGUCCACGCCGUAAACGAUGUCGACUUGGAGGUUGUGCCCUUGAGGCGUGGCUUCCGGAGCUAACGCGUUAAGUCGACCGCCUGGGGAGUACGGCCGCAAGGUUAAAACUCAAAUGAAUUGACGGGGGCCCGCACAAGCGGUGGAGCAUGUGGUUUAAUUCGAUGCAACGCGAAGAACCUUACCUGGUCUUGACAUCCACAGAACUUUCCAGAGAUGAGAUUGGUGCCUUCGGGAACUGUGAGACAGGUGCUGCAUGGCUGUCGUCAGCUCGUGUUGUGAAAUGUUGGGUUAAGUCCCGCAACGAGCGCAACCCUUAUCCUUUGUUGCCAGCGGUCCGGCCGGGAACUCAAAGGAGACUGCCAGUGAUAAACUGGAGGAAGGUGGGGAUGACGUCAAGUCAUCAUGGCCCUUACGACCAGGGCUACACACGUGCUACAAUGGCGCAUACAAAGAGAAGCGACCUCGCGAGAGCAAGCGGACCUCAUAAAGUGCGUCGUAGUCCGGAUUGGAGUCUGCAACUCGACUCCAUGAAGUCGGAAUCGCUAGUAAUCGUGGAUCAGAAUGCCACGGUGAAUACGUUCCCGGGCCUUGUACACACCGCCCGUCACACCAUGGGAGUGGGUUGCAAAAGAAGUAGGUAGCUUAACCUUCGGGAGGGCGCUUACCACUUUGUGAUUCAUGACUGGGGUGAAGUCGUAACAAGGUAACCGUAGGGGAACCUGCGGUUG
rnacentral:rRNA from 1 species